rnacentral:rRNA from 1 species
GAUGAACGCUGGCGGCGUGCCUUACACAUGCAAGUCGAACGGCAGCACGGGUGCUUGCACCUGGUGGCGAGUGGCGAACGGGUGAGUAAUACAUCGGAACGUACCUUAUCGUGGGGGAUAACGCAGCGAAAGCUGUGCUAAUACCGCAUACGCCCUGAGGGGGAAAGCGGGGGAUCGAAAGACCUCGCGCGAUUAGAGCGGCCGAUGCCUGAUUAGCUUGUUGGGGGGGUAAAAGCCCACCAAGGCGACGAUCAGUAGCUGGUCUGAGAGGACGAUCAGCCACAGUGGGACGGAGAAACGGCCCAGACCCCUGCGGGAGGCAGCAGUGGGGAAUUUUGGACAAUGGGGGCAACCCUGAUCCAGCAAUGCCGCGUGAGUGAAGAAGGCCUUCGGGUUGUAAAGCUCUUUUGUCAGGGAAGAAACACCGGCUCUAACACAGUCCGGGAAUGACGGUACCUGAAGAAUAAGCACCGGCUAACUACGUGCCAGCAGCCGCCGUAA